GACGGACGCUGGCGGCGUGCCUAAUACAUGCAAGUCGAACGCUGAAGGAGGAGCUUGCUUCUCUGGAUGAGUUGCGAACGGGUGAGUAACGCGUAGGUAACCUGCCUGGUAGCGGGGGAUAACUAUUGGAAACGAUAGCUAAUACCGCAUAAUAUUGACUAUUGCAUGAUAGUCAGUUGAAAGGUGCAACUGCACCACUACCAGAUGGACCUGCGUUGUAUUAGCUAGUUGGUGGGGUAACGGCUCACCAAGGCGACGAUACAUAGCCGACCUGAGAGGGUGAUCGGCCACACUGGGACUGAGACACGGCCCAGACUCCUACGGGAGGCAGCAGUAGGGAAUCUUCGGCAAUGGACGGAAGUCUGACCGAGCAACGCCGCGUGAGUGAAGAAGGUUUUCGGAUCGUAAAGCUCUGUUGUAAGAGAAGAACGAGUGUGAGAGCGGAAAGCUCACACUGUGACGGUAUCUUACCAGAAAGGGACGGCUAACUACGUG
rnacentral:rRNA from 1 species